AUGAUCGAAGAGAGGGAGAUGCUUAUGGAGUUUGUUGAUUCGCUCAAGGCAUCUUCGAACAUCUCCUUCGGUGACAAUAGCAAGGGAAAGGUAUUGGGAUUGGGCAAGGUGGUAGUCUCUAGUGAUUCAUCACUUUCAAAUGUCAUGCUUGUUCAAUGCCCUCACUACAAUUUACUUUCAACAAUUCAAUUGGCACGUGCUGGUUAUGAUUCUCAUUUUGGUGAAUUUCAUGUGACCGUCUUUAAGAGGAGCAAUCUCAAAGUGGUCUUUGAUACGUCUCCACCACAUCUACUUUUCCUAAUGCUUUUGCUCUUGUUUUGGACAAUAAUUUCCAUCAUUUGA
rnacentral:rRNA from 1 species